AGCGAACGCUGGCGGCAGGCCUAACACAUGCAAGUCGAACGAACCUUUCGGGGUUAUUGUCGGACGGUUGAGUAACACGUUGGAACGUUCCUUUAUGUUCGGAAUAACUCAUGGAAACUUGUGCUAAUACCUAAUGUGCCCUUCUGGGGAAUGAUUUAUCGCCUUUAGAGCGUCCCGCGUCUGAUUAGCUAGUUGGUUGAGGUAAUGGCUCACCAAGGCGACGAUCAGUAGCUGGUCUGAGAGGAUGAUCAGCCACAUUGGGACUGAGACACGGCACAAACUACUACGGGAGGCAGCAGUGGGGAAUCUAGCGAAAUGGGCGAAAGCAUGAAGAAGCCAUGACGGGUGAAUGAUGAAGGUAUUAGGAUUGAAAAAUUCUUUCAACGGGGAAGAUAAUGACGGUACCCGGAGAAGAAGCCCCGGCUAACUACGUG
rnacentral:rRNA from 1 species